UACGGAGGGUGCGAGCGUUGUCCGGAAUUACUGGGCGUAAAGGGCGCGUAGGCGGUCCUGAUCGUCGGAUGUGAAAGGCCUGGGCUCAACCUGGGAACUGCAUCCGAUACGGCGGGACUGGAGUGUGGGAGAGGUUGGUGGAAUUCCCAGUGUAGAGGUGAAAUUCGUAGAUAUUGGGAAGAACACCGGUGGCGAAGGCGGCCAACUGGACCACAACUGACGCUGAGGCGCGAAAGCGUGGGGAGCAAACAGG
rnacentral:rRNA from 1 species